rnacentral:rRNA from 1 species
GCAAGUCGAACGGUGAAGCCAAGCUUGCUUGGUGGAUCAGUGGCGAACGGGUGAGUAACACGUGAGCAACCUGCCCUGGACUCUGGGAUAAGCGCUGGAAACGGCGUCUAAUACUGGAUAUGAGCCUCUAUCGCAUGGUGGGGGUUGGAAAGAUUUUUUGGUCUGGGAUGGGCUCGCGGCCUAUCAGCUUGUUGGUGAGGUAAUGGCUCACCAAGGCGUCGACGGGUAGCCGGCCUGAGAGGGUGACC